ACGGGAGGCAGCAGUGGGGAAUAUUGCACAAUGGGGGAAACCCUGAUGCAGCGACGCCGCGUGAGUGAAGAAGUUAUUCGUAAUGUAAAGCUCUAUCAGCAGGGAAGAUGAUGACGGUACCUGACUAAGGAGCCCCGGCUAACUGCGUGCCAGCAGCCGCGGUAAUACGUAGGGGGCAAGCGUUAUCCGGAUUUACUGGGUGUAAAGGGAGCGUAGACGGUCUUGCAAGUCUGAUGUGAAAGGCAGGGGCUCAACUCCUGGACUGCAUUGGAAACUGUAAGUCUUGAGUGCCGGAGAGGUAAGCGGAAUUCCUAGUGUAGCGGUGAAAUGCGUAGAUAUUAGGAGGAACACCAGUGGCGAAGGCGGCUUACUGGACGAUAACUGACGUUGAGGCUCGAAAGCGUGGGGAGCAAACAGGAUUAGAUACCCUGGUA
rnacentral:rRNA from 1 species